GCCAACUAAUCCAGGAUUAGUGAGAUUACUCACCAAAUCGCACGCAAAUCGGAUCAAUCCGACGGCGACGAUGCGAGGAACGAUUGUUCCCAAGCACGGCUCGGGUUCGAGGCCGGGAAACGGCCCAAAAGCGGGCCCGAAGUGCUGGAUACCCACUUCGUGGGUCUGCUGGUUAGCUGCAAAACAGAGAGAAAGAGAGAGGGUUGGGGGCGGCAAGAGGUCGGGAGAGCGGGCGGAGCUCCGGUGAGGCCGGACGGUGGCUGGAGAUGGAGCUGGUCGGUGGUUCGGCGGCUUCUUCAGCUACUCCCGAAGCUAGACAGAGACCAACCAGCUGCUGGACGGAGCUGCUAGGCGGCAAGGAUGCGAGGGACAAGCGGCGGGAUGCGAGGGCGGCGAGCGAGUGACGGGACGGCGGCGGGACAGGCGGCGACGGUGAGCCACUUCAAUCUUCAAACGAUGGUGGCCGCUGCUUCUGCCCUUCUUCGGUUUUGGUCCGCACAAACCAGAGAGAAAAAGAGAGAGAAGAAGUCGGUCACGUGGGGAAAAAAGGAGAGAAGAGAGAGGAGAGAGAAGAAGAAAGGAAAGUGAUAAGAAAGAAGGGAGGAGAUAGGAUUUUGACCAGUCAAAAGUGAAAAAGAGAGAGAGAGAAGCCAAUUUAAA
rnacentral:lncRNA from 1 species